CCAAUAGCGUAUAUUAAAGUUGUUGCAGUUAAAAAGCUCGUAGUUGAAUUUCGGGAUUAGUACGUUGGUCGUGCCUUCGGUACGUACUGGUGUUACUGAUUCCUACCUUCUGACGAACCAUCAUGUCAUUAAUUUGGUGUGGCGGGGAAUCAGGACUGUUACUUUGAAAAAAUUAGAGUGUUUAAAGCAGGCUCGCGCUUGAAUACAUUAGCAUGGAAUAAUGAAAUAGGACGUUGACCCUAUUUUGUUGGUUUCUAGGAUUGACGUAAUGAUUAAUAGGGAUAGUUGGGGGCAUUAGUAUUCAAUUGUCAGAGGUGAAAUUCUUGGAUUUAUUGAAGACUAACUACUGCGAAAGCAUUUGCCAAGGAUGUUUUCAUUAAUCAAGAACGAAAGUUAGGGGAUCGAAGACGAUCAGAUACCGUCGUAGUCUUAACCAUAAACUAUGCCGACUAGGGAUCGGAUGAUGUUAUUUUUAAUGACUCAUUCGGUGCCUUACG
rnacentral:misc_RNA from 1 species